GAUGAACGCUGGCGGCGCGCCUAACACAUGCAAGUCGAACGGCACCCACCCUCGGGUGGAAGCGAGUGGCGAACGGCUGAGUAACACGUGGAGAACCCGCCCCCUCCUCCGGGAUAGCCUCGGGAAACCGUGGGUAAUACCGGAUGACCCCGCAGGGCCGCAUGGCCCCGCGGGCAAAGCCCAGACGGGAGGGGAUGGCUCCGCGGCCCAUCAGGUAGACGGCGGGGUGACGGCCCACCGUGCCGACGACGGGUAGCCGGGUUGAGAGACCGACCGGCCAGAUUGGGACUGAGACACGGCCCAGACUCCUACGGGAGGCAGCAGUGGGGAAUCUUGCGCAAUGGGGGGAACCCUGACGCAGCGACGCCGCGUGCGGGACGAAGGCCCUCGGGUCGUAAACCGCUUUCAGCAGGGAUGAGGCAAGACGGUAC
rnacentral:rRNA from 1 species